AGGAGUUUAGGUUAAAAGACCGGUAGCCUUCAAAGCUCCAAGUAAGUGCCACUCACUUAACUCCUG
rnacentral:tRNA from 1 species